CUGAAGAACCUGGAGUCCAUUGUUCGAGGACAGGAAUCAUCCAGCAUGGGAAAAAGAUGUAGGCCAGGGGGCUAGGCCAGUCUCUCUUUUCACAUUUUUCUGCCUGCUUAUAUUCUAGCCACACUGGCAGCUGAUUAGAUUGUGCCCACCCAGAUUAUGAGUGGGUCUGAGACAAAGAUCUGGACAAACAUCUGAACACAGUUUCCUAUACCUCCUACUGGAAGUGUCCUGUAUAUGCCAUUUUUCACUAAAAAGGAGCAGACAGCAGCAAUAUGUAACUUCAAUCUGAAAUACGAAAUGCAAGAUGAGUCUGAAGUACAAAAAGACAAAAAGACUGGGAAAACUCUGAGAUCUAAUAAAGACAAGCCUUUUGCACAGCUUUACCAAGAAACCAAGAGACAUAUGUCACCCAGCCAUGUCAUGUUAAUGUAGCAACCAAGAAAGAAGAAGAGGCAAAAAAGGGUACUGCAUGUGAUAUCAGGAUUAACAGUUUUUACCUCUGAAAAACAGGGCACUAGUUUUUCACCCUUCAAUAUCUGAGUUCCUAAAAUCCACUUCUAUUGCGAUCUGGGAAAGAAAUACAUAGCACAACUCUUCUGGCUCCAGAAUAAAAUUAUUUCUGCUGCCAUUUGCACCAGCAUGAUUCAUGGCCUAUAUCUACCUCUUGACAUAAACAACACUAAAAAUAAGACACUAAGCCCCCUGCUUCAGCUGCCAUGGGGGAAAACAUAUCCACUGCCAUACUUGUCAUCAGAAAUAGUAGUCUCUAAUUCAGGGGGUUUAAUUUUGCCUUCCCAAGUCUCCUGUGGAUAUGUCUGCUAAGUAAAAAACUAAGUCAACAUGUAAA
rnacentral:lncRNA from 1 species